CCGCCAUUAGCUCAGUCUGGUAGAGCAUAUCGUUUGGGACGAUACGGUCAAACGUUCAAAUCGUUUAUGGCGGACCA
rnacentral:tRNA from 3 species